GAUGAACGCUAGCGGCAGGCUUAACACAUGCAAGUCGAGGGGUAUGCCGAUUUAUCGGCAGAGACCGGCGCACGGGUGCGUAACGCGUAUGCAAUCUACCUUUCACAGAGGGAUAGCCCAGAGAAAUUUGGAUUAAUACCUCAUAGUAUAGCAGUUUCGCAUGAAACCACUAUUAAAGUUCCAACGGUGAAAGAUGAGCAUGCGUCCCAUUAGCUAGAUGGUAAGGUAACGGCUUACCAUGGCUACGAUGGGUAGGGGUCCUGAGAGGGAGAUCCCCCACACUGGUACUGAGACACGGACCAGACUCCUACGGGAGGCAGCAGUGAGGAAUAUUGGUCAAUGGACGCAAGUCUGAACCAGCCAUGCCGCGUGCAGGAUGACGGUCCUAUGGAUUGUAAACUGCUUUUGUACGAGAAGAAACAACAUUACGUGUAAUGUCUUGACGGUAU
rnacentral:rRNA from 1 species